GACGAACGCUGGCGGCGUGCCUAACACAUGCAAGUCGAACGAACCGCGACUAAGUGCUUGCACUAAGUCAAGGUGAGUGGCGAACGGGUGAGUAACACGUGGGUAACCUACCUCAUAGUGGGGGAUAACAGUCGGAAACGACUGCUAAUACCGCAUAGGACAUAGGAUCACAUGAUCCAGUGAUGAAAGGUGGCGCAAGCUAUCGCUAAGAGAUGGACCCGCGGUGCAUUAGCUAGUUGGUAGGGUAGAGGCCUACCAAGGCGAUGAUGCAUAGCCGACCUGAGAGGGUGAUCGGCCACAUUGGGACUGAGACACGGCCCAAACUCCUACGGGAGGCAGCAGUAGGGAAUCUUCCGCAAUGGGCGCAAGUCUGACGGAGCAACGCCGCGUGAGUGAAGAAGGUCUUCGGAUCGUAAAGCUCUGUUGUUAGGGAAGAACAGCGCAUAGAGUAACUGCUAUGCGUGUGACGGUAUCUAACCAGAAAGCCACGGCUAACUACGUG
rnacentral:rRNA from 1 species